rnacentral:tRNA from 1 species
GCCCGGAUGAUCCUCAGUGGUCUGGGGUGCAGGCUUCAAA